rnacentral:lncRNA from 10 species
ACAUGAGUAACAUUGGGAAGUGAACCUGUUAACCUGUGAUAUGAAGAGAAGGGGAAGAGACCAAAAAUUUAUCAGCCACACCAAGCCCUGGAAAACAGCGGUACUAAUAACCCAGCCUCCCUUCCUGGGUGCUCACUCUGUACCAGGUACCUCAUGGGCCUCAGGGUGCUAUGCAACCCCUGUCCCCAUGAGCAGGUUCCACUGAUAUUUUCAAGUCAGGCCACUCAUGCCUAUGAAAUGCAUGAAAUGAGAUUUUUUUGUGAUGUUGGCUAUGGCAACACACGUGGCUCUGCCUGAUGGAAGCUGAGACAAAAUUGGUAACCUGAGCGAACCCGUGUGGAGAAGAUUUGAGCAGAGAGUAAGCUUAGGAUGGAUAAAUGCCCACGAUAAACAAAUAAUAAAUAGAUGAGAUGAAAUAUUUAUUUCAUGUACAGGAUGAGGAUUAAAUACGUUAACAAGAUGAGGAGUCAGGGUGAGCCUGGGGAAUCCCUGGUUUCACUGGAGCCUCCUGGCUGGGAGAAGUGUCACGUCUCCAGGCUGGGGCAGCGGCAGGGCUCCCUGGUUGGGAGGUCUAGUGGUGACACGUGGAACACCUGGUGGUGAGCCCCAGAAUGCCUGUGUCCCAGGCCGACCCAUACUGGUCAUGAGCUGUGUGAUCCAGGCAAGUGACUUCACGGACCUCAGUUUCCCAUCUGCAAAAUGGGAUGAUAACAGCAAACUUCACCACUUGUGAUGAGGAUUCGGAGAGUGAAUCUUUGGCCCAGCACAAGGCCUGUAAGGUGUUUCACAUGGCAGAGUUGGUGGCGGGUCACCAAGGUGGUGGUGUCCCAGGUUGAAGGAACCUUUCUAGAAAUUCCAUUGCCUGGAAGGAUCCAGUGACACACAGUGGACCCUGAGCCACAAAACAGACUGUGGUAACUGCUGGGGCCUCCCGCAGGGUGAUCCCCGAGGAGGCUGGGAGGAGCUCAGCCCUUUCUUCUGCUGGGGGCAUGUGCAGGCAUGGAGACUGCCCGGCCCCUUCCUGUCCUGUUGGGGCAUGAUUUUCAACAGAGGGAGGAUUCUGGGCAUGUUUUCCUUUGGAAGUCUCACCAGGCUGAGCAGGACUUAGAGGAACUCCGGCUACGUUUGCUGUCCCAACAAAUAGACCAGAGCCUCACACUUGCUGCCUCCUCUGCCUGGAACUCUCUCCCUCUGCUCUCACAGGGUUCCCUAAGUGUCGCUUCCUCCAAGAAGCCCUCCCUGAUGAGUUGAGCCACUUUAGUUUGUGCUCAGGCUCACCCUGCACGUCUUGGUUGCUCUCAUCACUGUAAUGAUCUAAAACACACGUCUGCUCAUGAGACCCGCAUCCCACCCCCGAUGCUGGGGCCGCUCUUGGAUUUUCAUGCCUGCUGCCAGCACCCAGGGGGAGCUCCGGAAAUGUCUGCUGGGGGCUCGGAAUACCCACCUUUCUGGUAAUGCAGCCCAGCGGGUCCCAGCCUCGUUUUCCAGCCCUCACUCAAAAUGGAGUCGCUCUGGUUCGAACGCCUCUGACAAGUGUGUACCUACGUGUCAGGCCCAUCCUUCCUGCAGGCCUUUGUCUUGGUGUCACCCUGCCUGAGCUGGCCCCAACCACAGUAGCAACAGUGAUGCUGAUGUGUGACUGCUGCCAGGAGCCUGCUCACAUGACCGUGUGGAGAAAGUUCUUUCCCUGAGGACCAUCUGGAGUGGACGCGUGCACUACCCCUCUCUGAAUACACCCUCCCCACGAGGCCCUCUGGAGCAUCCUGUAGAGCCAGCCCCUACCCAGAGACCCUGAGCCCAGAGAAUGCGCUGGGUGGUGAGCCUGGGGACGAAUGCAGAGCCCUAGGUCUCCUCUCCAGAAGUUGGAGUGCCAUGGUGUGGUCAUAGCCCACUGAAGCCUCAAACCUCUGGGCUGAAGCCAUCCUUCCGCCUCAGCCUCCCAAGUAGCUGGGACCAUAGGUGCAUGGCACUGUGCCUGGCACUGUCUGAAUGCAUACAGCUGCGUAGCAUCGUGGUAAGAACACCCGCCCUGACAUCACACAGACCUGCAUCCACGUCCCAGCUGAGCCUCAGUUCUCACAUCUGCAAAAUGGGGAGAACAACAGCAGCAGCGUCCUGAGGCUGGGGUGAGGACCGAGUGAAAAACCUUUGUCGCAUCUUUGGGCAUCGCAGGAGUUCAAUAAAUGUUAGCUAUCGUUGUCACUUUGUAUUAUCCAGCCCAGUCUGGCCCGUUGUAAUCACCUCCUGACCUGUGUCUGGGAGCUCACAGCUCCAAGCAGCAA